CUGGCAGUCAAACUGAGAUUGAUUUCCUGACUCGCCAGGCUGAAGCUGAGGCUCGAGAACGAGAAGAAGCUGAAAAGAAAGAGAAGGAAGCAACUAAGAAGAACGAGUCUGAGAAAGCUCUUGCCAUGCCUGCUUCAUCCUUGCUUGUAAUCCCCCAUAUUUUCUUAGUAAAUAAUAAUUAUAUAUUUUUAUGUAUACGAUUAUUUUAAUAAUUUUAUAAUUAUACAAAAAUACUUUGGGAAGAUUUCAAAAAAAAAAAAAAAAAUACAAUAACUUAUACUCCAAUAGCAUUUUAUUCACUUUGGGCUAUGAUUACCAUUCCAAUUCUACAAAAAAAUAAAAGAGCCCAAACCCUCAUUUUCUAAUUAAGUAAACUUCUUUCAAAAACCCUCCUUUAGUGCUUCCCCUUAUUACUCCUUCACUACCUUCCUCCUCCUUUCACGACUCACACAGAGGAAAAAAAAAUAAAUAAAAAAAAUUCGCUGCUUUCUCCUCUCCGCUGCUGCUGCCUCUUCUGCGCCGCCACGGCCUCAGCCGGAAAUCACCACCGGCGACCCUCGCUGCAGCCCGUACCACCUUAGCCGGAGAGGACUUCGUAGAAGGUGACUUCUAGCCUUAAAGUGGCCAACCAAUUCGUGUACUCAAGCUACGUACAAGAAUACGAAGAACCUUGAUUUUAGGAGCAUGCUUAGGGACUUGGAAAAACCUAGAAUCAUGUUAAGAAACUGUGGAUUGGUUGAAAUUGUUUGGUAAUGAGUUGAUUGAUGAUAAAUGUGAUGAUUGCUUUAAUUCAAGUAUGAGAAUUUGCAUUGAUUUUUCCCCA